rnacentral:rRNA from 1 species
AGAGUUUGAUCCUGGCUCAGAAUGAACGCUGGCGGCGUGCUUAACACAUGCAAGUCGUGCGCGAAGGCGGCUUCGGCUGCCGGAGAGCGGCGAACGGGUGAGUAACACGUGGGUAAUCUACCUGGGAGUGGGGGAUAACCUGGGGAAACCCGGGCUAACACCGCAUACGAUGCUGGGACUUCGGUCCUGGUCUGAAAGCUGGCCUCUGCUUGCAAGCUAGCGCUCCCAGAGGAGCCCGCGGCUGAUUAGCUGGUUGGUGGGGUAAUGGCCUACCAAGGCGACGAUCAGUAGCCGGCCUGAGAGGGUGAUCGGCCACACUGGAACUGAGACACGGUCCAGACUCCUACGGGAGGCAGCAGUGGGGAAUGUUGGACAAUGGGCGCAAGCCUGAUCCAGCAACGCCGCGUGGAGGACGAAGGUCUUCGGAUCGUAAACUCCUGUCAGGUGGGACGAAGGCUUGGGGGUGAAUAGUCCUCAAGCUUGACGGUACUACCAGAGGAAGCCCCGGCUAACUCCGUGCCAGCAGCCGCGGUAAUACGGAGGGGGCGAGCGUUAUUCGGAAUUAUUGGGCGUAAAGGGCGCGUAGGCGGCUUGAUAAGUCAAAGGUGAAAUCCCUCGGCUCAACUGAGGAACUGCCUUUGAAACUGUCUGGCUUGAGGCCGGGAGGGGAGCGGAAUUCCCAGUGUAGCGGUGAAAUGCGUAGAUACUGGGAGGAACACCGGUGGCGAAGGCGGCUACCUGGACCGGUUCUGACGCUGAUGCGCGAAAGCGUGGGUAGCAAACAGGAUUAGAUACCCUAGUAGUCC